CGAGCACGCGCGUGUGGCAUAUCAAUAAGCGGAGGAAAAGAAACUAACAAGGAUUCCCCUAGUAACGGCGAGUGAAGCGGGAAGAGCUCAAAUUUGAAAUCUUAAAGGGUUUCCCUUUACGAAUUGUAGUUUAAAGAAGUGUUUUCUGUUGGAGUUUCGGUAAAAGUUCUUUGGAAUAGGACAUCAUAGAGGGUGAGAAUCCCGUAUUUGACCGUUACUUUCCAGCUGUGUGAUACACUUUCAAAGAGUCGGAUUGUUUGGGAAUGCAGUCCAAAAUGGGUGGUAAAUUUCAUCUAAAGCUAAAUAUUGGCGAGAGACCGAUAGCGAACAAGUACCGUGAGGGAAAGAUGAAAAGAACUUUGAAAAGAGAGUUAAACAGUACGUGAAAUUGUCAAAAGGGAAGCGUUUGACACCAGUGUUGUUUAGUUGAAAAUCAAUUAAAUAUUUUUCGAUUUUAAAGUAGUAUUGACCUUAUCAGCUUGCUGCUUUCUUUUCGGAAAUUAUUUAAUGCACUUUUCAGUUAACAAGUCAACAUCAAUUUCUUUUGUUGUAAAAAGGUAAGAGGAAGGUGGCUUGCGCUUCGGCUCAAGUGUUUAUAGCCUUUUACCCCUGCAAUCGGAGAGAUUGAGGUCUGCAGCGUAGGUCCUUCGGGGUUAGAUACAUUUGUGCUAAGCUAUAGCCUUGUAUAGACAACUUGUUGACUAUGCUCAGUCAUGUAGCUUACUCGCUUAUGUUAUUUUACCUACGCUUAGGAUGUUGAGUAGCGACAUACGCAC
rnacentral:rRNA from 1 species